rnacentral:lncRNA from 1 species
UGCCUCACUCAUUAUUUCUCUAGCAUGACUGUCUUUUAGAGUAGAGUACUCCAGAUCUAGUCUUCUCCAUAAACUUCCUGUUAAGGAACAUAGUCUGUUUACCUCUCUCCUGGUCUCCAGAUAGAUCUUCUUCAUACUUUUCAACACUUGUACCAUGGUGGCUUGCAAGUCUUCAUUGGUCAUCUUUCCUCCCGACUUCUCAGAUAAAGUCGGGCUUCCCAAAACAGCUGGUCCUCGUAGGGAGGGGAAAUCUUAUGGAUAAUCUGUCAUUUUUUAUCUUGGUAGACACUAAGGUGGCCCGUAUUCUGUAUUCCACUUGAAGGUUUGCUCCUUCCUCUUUCUUUUUUGCAUAUAAGACUAAUGGUGUCCCACUGGACGUGCCAAAAUUAUGUUCGAGCAAAGCUUUCUCUAGAGAAGAUAUCUAGACCUUAGCAUAGCUCCCCAAGGGAUUAGCACUUUGGAUGUGUAUGUUUAGUAGUCAAACCCUUGCUUGUCUUGUGUGCUGCAAUAAGAGCUUGAAGUUAGUUAUGAAAUGUGCCUUUGUGGGGCCUUAGGUAUAGGCCUUGAGGCUCGCAAUCAAAACUAACUAAAUGCUUAGGCGUGCCACUGCUAUCUCAUUAUAGCAGAUGUAGAACAAAUGUGUUAUGAGUCGAUUACUUACGCCCUAAGUUACUCAAACUUCUUGUUAUCAAAGGAUUGUCAUAUAUGGGUUAAGUCUGUAUUAAUUUCUUUUCUUGCCUUGUAAACAAGGACUUUUAGUUCAUGGUCUCGUAUCUUCGAAUGGAAGGAGUCCAUAGCCCUUUUAAGUCAUUUGUUUGGUUCCAAAUUGCUCUUUAAUGAAAACAUAUCCAUUAAGUUAACCAGAUCCAGAUGCAAAUGAGACUCUUAAAAUAGAAAAACAGGUGGAAAUAACUUGAAUACAUGCUGAAAAGUGUAUUAAAUAAUAGAUCUACUAAUUUAGAUGACAAACAAAGAGACUCGGGCAAGAUUUCACCUUGUCUGGCAAGGUGGAACCUCUUGUAGCCACUUCUCUUUGGUUUUACAGAGGUUGUAUGCUGAAAAUGGAUGGUUGGUAAACAGGUUUACCUGAGAGAAUCCAUACUACAGCAUUGGGAAUGGUAAUAGAGCUUUUAUACUAGAGAAAAGAUAGUCUUUCUAAGGAAGCAAUAGCUAAAAUGACUAAAUUUGAGUUGAUUUCAGCUUGAAGGGUACAAACUGGCUUGAAAUCAGAGUUUGGAAGUUUGUUUGUUUGAUUGGUUGAGUGUCUUUGUCUCUAUUGUCUCUUCUUCCUUUUAUAGGCGAUUUGGCCCAAGAGUCAGGGCAUUGCUCUUGCCCGAAAGCUCUUGAAGGGUAGUGAGUCAUUAGUUUUUUACUUGUAAUGCCAUUAGAAAGUUUUUUUGGCUGAUAGUAGGUUAGUCUCCAUCACUAGUCACUUUAGUCAUAGACA